rnacentral:lncRNA from 1 species
UAAAGUUCUAGGAGUGUAAUUUCCUCUGAUUAGAUUACCAAAAUCACAAAAUCUCUCCGAAAUUUCAUCUUCCCCCAAGUCAUCCUAAAACCCCUCCAAAAUCGCUAACCAGAAUCACCCUUUCUCACAAAAUUUCCCAGAAUUCUUGAUGCAGCUAGCGAAUCUAUGCUUUGGUGCUUCAAAUAUGACGCCGUUUAUAAUGCAAUUGCACCUUUGUUGUUGAAUGAUACCUGUGAUUUGAAGAUUUUGAUAUGCAAACCUUAGAGGGAGAAGUCAUGAAUCUUUGAUAAGUUGCACGGGCAUUGAUUAAAGCGUUGAUGGCCGGUACAGUUUCGGAAGGUGAUUAUCCAUGUUUGAAGGGUAUCACAUACUUUGGUUUAAAGGGAAAUUAAGUAGUAAUGUUUACGGAGUCUCAUCCAAGUUAGUCAAUGGGGGGGGGGGGGGGGGGGGGGGGGGGGAUAUUCCACGGUUCUCCCAACCGCCGAGGUGAUCCCACCUCGCAGACCGCCACCCAGCAAGCCUGAGUCUGGGGGUAAAUCCGCUACCGUAGGGGCAUUGGGAACGAGCAAGACUCGAACCCGCCACCUCCGGGUUAGAAUGCGGGCUGGUGGCCAUUGGGCUGACACCCAAUGGUUUUUACUGAUAUAUAUAAUGUUACAGUAUAUAAAGUUUUUUUUCAAAAUUCUUUUAAUUAAAAACUUAAAAUAUGUAUUUAGAGUUUUAGACUAAGUUCUAUUAUUUAUUUAAUAUUAUAAUUUAAAUUACCUAAACCACCCUUUCAAUUGUGAUGUCCUUCAUGAUGCUAGUGUAUCAGAUUCAUGAUAUUCUCGAGUUUUUAUAAAUUACAAGUGGACAUGUAGUUUUACUCUGAUGAUGUAGAUGUGAUUAGAGGUGUGCAUGGGUCGGUUUGGUUCGCUUUUUACUAUUAACCAUAACCAUAACCGCUAGUUCGGUUAUGGAGUUUUGGUAACCAUAACCAAACUUCGGUUACGGUUAAUCGGUUAUGAAGUCGGUUAUGGUUCGGUUUUGGUUAAUUUCGGUUAUGUAACCAAGCAAGGUUUGAAAUAAAUAGGGUUGUGCGAUUUGAACUUAGCUUUAGCCUAUUUUAUAAGAUAACGGAGACUAAACUUUUUGGUUAAACUACCGAUUUAGGGUUCUUUUUAAUAAGGUAAUUCUCAAACAAAAAUAAUUAUGGCCAUAACACCUUAGUUCUUUAUCAAAAUAAAUAACAUAUACAUCAAGAUCAUUUUGUUACUAACAUAUUUUUAUCUUACUAAAAACCCUCUAUAUGGUUUUGUAAAACACAAAUCCAUUAUGUAAAGUUAACAUCACAAGUUCGGUUCGGUUUCGGUUAUAUCGGUUAACCAAAGCUUCAUAACCAUAACCAUUGGUUAUAAUGGUUAUCGGUUAUUAGUGGUUCGGUUAUGGUUCGGUUAUCGGUUAUGGUGGUUAAUUUGCUCACCCCUAGAUGUGAUAUUGGUGUUCAAAAGUGUUACUUGACCAAUUAAACUGAUUGUUAUUAGGGUACGUUGGGUUUUUUUAGACCUUAAAAAAACUGAUUAAACCGAUUUUAACUGUUAUUUGGGUUGGGUAUCAAAAACAAUAUCAUGCAUAAAAAAACCUACACCUGAAUGCAGUUAUGUGACUGUUCAUCUAGCUGAGUAGCAUAGUUUGAAAUUGCCCUAUUGAUUACUGCCUGAUAAGGUCAUUCGUGUGUUGCAGUGGGUGUUAAACAACUAUAGUUACUUGUCACGUUGUAUUUUUUAAUACCAGUUAAUAAAUACUACUGUAGAAUAAGGAGUUCGUAUUAUCAUCAAUCAUCAUCAUCAAAAUGUUACCUCUAUUUAGAUAUCAAACAGUGUAUGCAUGCAUGUUAAUGUGGGUUUGAAAGCAGAGGUAUUUGAUUAGGUGUUAUUUUUCUACAAGAAUUAACUAAUAAUUAUUCAUUUCUUUGAUAUUAACAAGCUGUUGAAGGCAUGUAGCUUUAUGGAUCCAAACUACUACAAAUACGGGUUUGACAUACUUUUUCAGUUUUGUCCCUACUUUGAUUCUUUCGUAAUAUUUUUUUAUGUAGUUAUAAACGUUGUUAAUAGUAAAUUACCCAUCUUUGACUCUAAAAAGUCAAAUGUGUGAUUCAAGGUACUGUGUUUUAAUCUAUGUAUAUGCAUGUACACAUGAAACUGAACGAAGAUGAGACGAUAAAGUCUGAAAAUUCGAUUAACUGAAAAUGGAAAUUACAAGAUAGCCAGCCCUAUUUCGAGAUGGGCGAAUUCUCCAAGUUACAAGGUAUAAAAUCCUAUAUUGAUCCUCUUACUGAUUAAUUGGAUUAAUUAAAAACCCACAAUUCAUUUGGAACUCCUUUUUGACCCAGAUGGGCCAGCCCAAGUAUUUAGUUUUGCUGGAGUCGUAUCAUGAGACAUCAAUUUCAAGCCCAAAAACAGAAUAAAACAGAAUAACAAAACUUCGAAAAUCAAAGAGAGAACAUAGAAAAUAAUAUAGAGAAUAAGAGAAGUCCAACUACAUUUAGUUAAAAAUGAACAUUUGUAUAAUUGCCAAUAUAUAGAAGCUUUUGGUUUGAUUUGAGUUUGUGCAUGUAUAUAGUUAUAUGAUUUUGGAAAUGUUUGUAU